rnacentral:rRNA from 1 species
CCUCGGGGGGCAGCAGUGGGGAAUAUUGGACAAUGGGCGAAAGCCUGAUCCAGCCAUGCCGCGUGUGUGAAGAAGGCCUUCGGGUUGUAAAGCACUUUCAGUGGGGAAGAAAGCCUUGGGGCUAAUACCCUCGAGGAAGGACAUCACCCACAGAAGAAGCACCGGCUAACUCCGUGCCAGCAGCCGCGGUAAUACGGAGGGUGCGAGCGUUAAUCGGAAUUACUGGGCGUAAAGCGCGCGUAGGCGGUCUGAUAAGCCGGUUGUGAAAGCCCCGGGCUCAACCUGGGAACGGCAUCCGGAACUGUCAGGCUAGAGUGCAGGAGAGGAAGGUAGAAUUCCCGGUGUAGCGGUGAAAUGCGUAGAGAUCGGGAGGAAUACCAGUGGCGAAGGCGGUCUUCUGGACUGACACUGACGCUGAGGUGCGAAAGCGUGGGUAGCAAACAGGAUUAGAUACCCCGGUAGUC